GUACUGCUGAGGAGUCCCACAACAGGACCAAACGACCGUCCAGUGC
rnacentral:hammerhead_ribozyme from 1 species